AUUCAAGAUUUUGACAGCGGCUGAGUCCUAGCGACCGUCACCGGCGAAACGACGUCAUUCAACACCUUCGAUUCUAACUCCAAUUAAGUUUCCAGAUCUUUUUAAUUUCAGUCUGGGAGCAAUUUGCUUUGUUAGUGUUCUUUUGCUAGUAGCUUCAAAUAUUCUAGGACAGAAAGCAAAAAUAACCACGGUGACUCGAAAGAUGUUGUACCCCUAGUUCGUUAUUGCUUUGGUAUUUUCUUGUUUCUUUGCAGGUUGUUCUUUUUCACUUCUGCAACCUUGAUGUCCCGGAAGCGAAAUGCCAUUGUUGCUACAGGCCUAGUGGUUUUUGCUGCUGCAGGAUUAGCAUUUCCCUUUUUCAUGGCAUCUAGAUCAUCGAAGAUGAAACCUGUUAUUGAUUCAUCAAAGCCUCUACCACCUCAGGCAACCUUCCGUGGACCGUAUAUCAACACCGGAUCGCGCGACAUUGGACCUGAUCAUCAAUCUUACCCGAAGAAAUAAUAUGUUUUGUGGGCCUUUUACUAUUUCGAGUAGAAAGCUGUUAUUUUCAGGUGAUGAAAAGGCUACUUCUUCCAUUGAUGGAGAAAUGUAUUUGCAUUUUUGCAAGAAGUAUACAUUUAUUUAGGGGCCCUUCUUCUGUCUGUGUGUUACCAGAAUCUUGGAAGUGGGGAGCAAAUUGACCACAUUAUGGAUUCUGUUGAUAAUUAUUUGUCGCCUUUAGAUUUACUUGUACGAUCUUGUAAUAAAAUGGUGAUUGGUGAGUAUUUAAUA